rnacentral:rRNA from 1 species
GAUGAACGCUAGCGAUAUGCUUAACACAUGCAAGUCGAGGGGCAGCACAAGGUAUCUUGUUAUCUGGGUGGCGACCGGCGUACGUGUGCGUAAAGCGUAUGCAACUUGCCCUAUACAUGAGGAUAACCCGUCGAAAGACGGACUAAUACUGCGUAUGCUAACAACUUGGCAUCAAGUGGUGAGGAAAGAAAUUCGGUAGAGGAUAGGCAUGCGUCCCAUUAGCUUGUUGGUGAGGUAACGGCUCACCAAGGCAACGAUGGGUAGGGGAACUGAGAGGUUUAUCCCCCACACGGGUACUGGGACACCGACCAGAGUCCUACGGGACGCAGCAGUGAGGAAUAUUGGUCAAUGGGAGCGAGCCUGAACCAGCCAAGUCGCGUGAAGGAUGACUGUCUUAUGGAUUGUAAACUUCUUUUAUACGGCAAUAACAAGAGUCACGUGUGACUCCCUGAAUGUACCGUAUGAAUAAGCAUCGGCUAACUCCGUG